GACGAACGCUGGCGGCGUGCUUAACACAUGCAAGUCGAACGGAAAGGCCCUGCUUUUGUGGGGUGCUCGAGUGGCGAACGGGUGAGUAACACGUGAGUAACCUGCCCUUGACUUUGGGAUAACUUCAGGAAACUGGGGCUAAUACCGGAUAGGAGCUCCUGCUGCAUGGUGGGGGUUGGAAAGUUUCGGCGGUUGGGGAUGGACUCGCGGCUUAUCAGCUUGUUGGUGGGGUAGUGGCUUACCAAGGCUUUGACGGGUAGCCGGCCUGAGAGGGUGACCGGCAACAUUGGGAAUGAGAUACGGCCCAGACUCGUACGGGAGGCAGGAGUGGGGAAUAUUGCACAAUGGGCGGAAGCCGGAUGCAGCAACGCCGCGUGCGGGAUGACGGCCUUCGGGGUGUAAACCGCUUUCGCCUGUGACGAAGCGUGAGUGACGGUAAUGGGGAAAGAAGCACCGGCUAACUACGU
rnacentral:rRNA from 1 species